UGGAAAGGCAUUUAUAAUCUAGACAAUGAUUAACGGACAAUAAUAAGAAGAUAAGUCCAUUUGUUUAUAAUAUAGUCAUUUAGUAGUUGGGUCAAGUUGCUUAACGGAAUCGUACUUCUCUAUGUUGUAAUGCUUUUUGGUUCUUAUUUUUGAUUGUAGGAUCUUAAUAACCAUAAAAGAAUGGUACAUACACGACUUUCCAAGCGCAAGUCUUUUGAAAUGGACAUGACGUGUUUCCUCUGCACUAACAGUUUGCCCGAGAGUAUGGUAUCGAAAUCAACCAAAUCAAGAAAAUCAUCUUCAAUCGGGAGAGUUGACUCAGAGAUGUCCGUGUUGUGAAGGAAAUUCAUCUUUUUAGGAUUUUUUGUUGUUCGAUAAGUACGCGGAGCACCAGUCAAACUGAAGUUAUCAAUGUUGAUCCACUCUCCAACAGUCACCUUGGGGGCCAAUUCAUCCAUGAGUUUGAUUUCUAUUGAGAUGGCGGUGGAAGGGUUAAUAGAAAGACCGUAUUUAUAAUAUGAGGGCUCUUUAGUCAAUAUAGGUUAAGAGAAUAUCUUGUAAUCAAUAUAGUUACCGAAGUUAUUGUUUUAUAAUUGAAUGCAAAAUAGUUUAGUAAUUAUUUUACAUGAUAA